rnacentral:rRNA from 1 species
AGAGUUUGAUCAUGGCUCAGAUUGAACGCUGGCGGCAGGCCUAACACAUGCAAGUCGAACGGUAGCACAGGGGAAGCUUGCUUCUCGCUGACGAGCGGCGGACGGGUGAGUAAUGUAUGGGGAUCUGCCCGAUAGAGGGGGAUAACUACUGGAAACGGUAGCUAAUACCGCAUAAUGUCUGCGGACCAAAGCGGGGGACCUCCGGGCCUCGCGCCAUCAGAUGAACCCAUAUGGGAUUAGCUUGUAGGUAAGGUAACGGCUUACCUAGGCGACGAUCCCUAGCUGGUCUGAGAGGAUGACCAGCCACACUGGAACUGAGACACGGUCCAGACUCCUACGGGAGGCAGCAGUGGGGAAUAUUGCACAAUGGGCGCAAGCCUGAUGCAGCCAUGCCGCGUGUAUGAAGAAGGCCUUCGGGUUGUAAAGUACUUUCAGCGGGGAGGAAGGGAGUAAGGUUAAUAACCUUAUUCAUUGACGUUACCCGCAGAAGAAGCACCGGCUAACUCCGUGCCAGCCGCCGCGGUAAUAC